AUGUCCCUUCUUUACCUUGACGAAAGAACUUAUACUUUCAAUUCAACAAAAAUGGUUGAGAUAUCCGAAGGUAGAUUGAAGACGCUUUUAACAGUGACAUUUUUAACGGGCUUCAUACUUGGAUACAAAAUGAAAGAAUUUCGUUUAUGGUGGCUACGAAGAAAACGAGACUUCCUAGCCAGUAAAUUAUCAGAAACGCAGAAAAAAAUUGAUGUGAUGUAGCGUGGGAUUGGUUGUUAAUUGUUAUUACCCAUUAAUGUGUGUGUUGUAAAGUGACAUAGAAACAUCAACGACUCUUCUGUGAAAGAAAGUCAUUCGGUGCACGGAAAAUGCAAUGCAAUUAUUGGUGAAACACGUAUUGUAGAACGUGUUGCGAUUCCUAUAAAGAAGACUGCACAUUAUAAACCAUCUAUCGUUCGACAGUCACUAGUUUCAUUUGCUUCCCCUAAGUUAUCUGAUAGAGAAACGCAGAUGUUUGUGACGUAUUUAAGUUAAAAAUACACAUUUUUGCAUGCAUCAUUAUUUGUAAACACACAAGUGUUUUUUUAUAAUAAAAUAAUACUUUUCACUGUUAUUACGUUUUAGUUUAAUUCUCGAAUUUCAUUGUUAUUACGUUUAAGCUUAAUUGUCAGUUACAAGCAUGCCAACAAAGCAUGUAUUCAUUUAUUUAUUUCGUGUUCCAUAGAUCCAUAUGGGAACAUAUCCCUGGAUAUAGAACGAGUCAAGGUUUUUACAGAUUAUUGUUUUGUGCACAGAUACAUUGAUCUUAUCAUUAGAUUAAAGAAACUGUUAAGUUUAGCAUAUACCCUUACAUAUUAGUUAAGAUACAGGACAUCUGAAAGAAUAUACAGUCAUACAUAAAUUUGGGUAAAAUUGUUCUUAAGUUACACAGGCGCCAUAUACAGACAUACAUAAAUUUUUGUAUUGUAUUAGUUACACUGUACUUACAGAGUAUGAUUAAUCAAUUGUAGAGGUCACACAGUAAGGUUUAAACACAAACAAGAGAUUCUAUGCAUUUUUGCUAAGAAAUUCAUCAAUACUGUAACAAGAUUCAUCUAAAAGGAACUGCUUCAGAUUUUCUUUAAACUUUGGCAUGUUUCCAACCAGUUCUUUAAUGUGCGGUGGGAGGGCAUUAAAAAUCUUGGUGCCACUGUAUAGAACCCCCUUCUGGACCAUGCUUUUCGUUUUUAGUUCAUAAUGGAUAUCCAGUUUCCUUCGGGUGUUAUAACUCUGGUAUGAGCUAUUGAUUUUGAAUAAGUUGCUAUUUUUUUAAACAAAGCACAUCAGGGAAAAAAUAUAUUGGGCAGGUGUUGUAAGGAUUUGUAGAGCUCUAAACAGAUCCAUGCACAAGGGCCUAGGAUGUACUCCACACACAAUUCUUAUUGCUCGCUUCUGUGCAUGGAACACUUUUUUUUGCUGUUGGUUGAUUUCCCCAAAAUAUUAUACCAUAGGCCAUAAGUUGGUGAAAAUAGCCAAAAUAUGCACUUUUAUUGUGCUAAUUUCCCUAGUGUCUGAAAUUAUUCUUAAGGCAAACGUUGCUGAGUUUAGCCUUUUGCGCAGAUCUUGAAUAUGGUGGUGCCACUUCAUUUUGCUAUCUAUAAGCAGACCCAAGAAUUUGGAGGACUCAACCUUCAAAAUCUCAUGCUAACCCAUUUUUAGGUUCAUUUCAUUAGUAACAUUUGUGUUAGAAGAGAAAUGAAUGUAAUUUGCCUUUUUUAGGUUGACUGUAAGGCCAUUGGUUUCAAACCAGUUUGUCAAAUCUGCAAAAGCUUUAUUUGCAGCCUCAUUUGACACAUUCCCUGAGAGAUUAUUAACUGAUAAAGUGGUGUCGUCAGCAAACAUGAGUAUUUUCCCAUAUUCUGUAUAUAGUGCUAAGUCAUUUAUAAAUAUUAGAAAGAGCAGUUGGCCCAGUACUGAGCCUUGGGGUACUCCUGCAGUAAUGGAGCCCCAUUCUGAAGAUACCUGGCCACCAUGCAGUCCUUCCACGAUUACUUUCUGCUUUCUAUCACACAGAUAGGAUUCAAGCCACAUGCCUACGGUUCCACCCAUUCCUAGGGUCUUGGCUUUACUCAAGAGAAUAUGGUGACUUACAGUGUCAAAAGCUUUUGACAGGUCGCAAAUUAUUCCAACCGUCAUGAUAUUAUUAUUUAUGGCUUCCAUAACAUUGUCAACAAAGGCAUGUAUUGCAUCCACGGUUGAUACCUCUUUCUGAAAGCCAAACUGGCUAUUUGCUGAGGAUGUUAUAUUUACUAAGAUGCUCAACCAUUCUGCUAUGCAUCAAUUUCUCUAGUACCUUGGAGAAAACUGAGAGUAAUGAAAUUGGUGAAUAGUUUGUAGCCUCAGUCUUUUCUCCCUUUUUAUAAAUUGGUCAUAUAAGCCCAUAUUUUAGCCUGUCAGGAAAAACACCUUCUUCCAAUGACGUAUUACUAAUAUGGCAGGGGACUGUACUUAUUUCUUUACAACAGUAUUUCAGUAACUUGUUGGAAAUAUUUUCAACUCCAGCAGAAUUUUUACAUUUUAAAGACAUAAUUAUUUUUUCUAAUUCUAUCACUGUAGUUUUUUGAAGAUGCAUCUCAUCUAUUUUGUUAGUUAAGGUGUUAUGGAAGUAUUCUGUAGCUUUCUUUACAGAACCCUGGCAUCCCAUUCGGUUGGUGACUGUUAGGAAAUGAUUGGGAGCAUCCACCGAAAGGCUCCCAGUUCUUAAGCUAAUCAUUUCUGUGGCAGAUAGGCUUUUCCCCAUCUCGCUUUUAACAUAUUUCCAUAUGGUUUUCAUUUUGUUAUUUGAUUUGUCAAUUUCCUUUUUUAGAUACAUACUUUUAGAUUUCUGGAUCACCUUCCUUAAUAUCUUAGAGUACACUUUAUAUUGCCCCAUCACUGCAGUAUUGUUAGACUGUCUAGCUGAGGCAUACAAAUCUCUUUUUGUUUUACAUGAAAUUUUGAUGCCCUGGGUAAUCCAUGGCUUAAAUGCAGGGUUACAUUGAUUUUCUCUGACUCUUUUAUGUAGAAAGACCUCUUCAAAAAUAUUUGAUGUUAAAUUAAUGGCUCUGAGCACUAUGGGACUUAACAGCUAUGGUCAUCAGUCGGUAAAUUAAUAAAUACAUUAAAUUUUGUGUUGACAUCUGCUGAGUUGAAUACUUCAGACCAGUCAACUAACUGUAGCUUCUUACUGUAUGUCUCAAUUGUUUCUUUAUUUAUUGGUCUCACAUUUUUCCAGAUAGCUUUUGAUUUUCUGUUAAGAUUUAAAUGGGGGAUUGUCAGAAGUAUAGCAUCAUGGUCUGACAGCCCAUUUAGGACUUGACUGACAGUCAGGCUAUUGCGCCUAGACUUAUCAACAAACACAUUAUCAAUUAGAGUACUGGAGUGGUCAGUUACCCAAGUGGGAAAUUUAACUACUUGCAUUAGAUUGUAACAGCUCAUCAGUUGCUCCAGCUCCAUUCUGUCAUAACUUUCAUUUAGGAACUUUACAUACAUUAAAGUCACCUAGUAUUAUGACUGAAAAGUUUUUUCUGUACAAUUUAUCACAGAUUGCAAAUUCAGUUAACGUAUUUUUGCCCUACUAGAACACAUUUUUCAGUUUUCACUCACCAGAAAUUAAAUGGAAGAAUGGAAGAAAGUUCUAUGUCAGUUAAGCUGCUUACACAUGCGAUGAGGCAGCUAAUGUUGAAGUGCACGCAAACGGGAUACACCACGUCACGAGGCACAGCACAGCUGGCACACAGGAUGAGCCAGUUAACGUGAUCUUGAGCUCUCAGCGCUAUCCAGCAGCAGUUGUUGAAUUUAUUUAGUGCGCGAAGCACACGUUUCACAAAGUGAAUAUGGAUCAAACUCAAUUAGCUGUGUUGGCUUUAUUGGCUAUUGUGGAAGAUGAGCGGAGAAAACACCGCAGAAGUUAAUGGACACGCCAGUGGAUUCGGCAGCGCGAUAAUGGUAGAGGAACGAUUCAUAUGCUGCACCAUGAACUGAGAUUAGAAGACGCAGAGUUGUUUCGGAACUUCACCAGAAUGGAUGAAGACGUGUUUUCGAAGUUACUGAGUAUAACUGGCAAUGACAUUUGCCGCCAAGACACCAACAUGAGACAAUUGAUAAAACCGUUAUCGACUGGCAGUCACUUUAAGAUUUUUGGCGACUGGAGAAACGUUCCAGUCUCUGGAUUAUGCAACAAAAAUUGCGCCAUAUACAUUGUCAAAAAUCAUUCCAGAAACGCUGUAGGCGAUUCUUAAUAAUCUGGAAAACAAGUGCAUAAAGAUUCCAAACACGGCUAACGAGUGGAAGCAAGUAGCGCACUCAUUCAAUUUGCUGUGGCAAUUCCCCCAUUGCAUAGGUGCAGUUGAUGGUAAAAAGGUAACCUUCCAGGCUCCGAGAGCAGCAGGCGCCUACUUCAGAGACUACAAAGGCCACAACAGCAUUGUGCUCCUGGCGGUUAUUGAUGCCCAUUAUAGGUUCUUAUAUACAAACAUUGGUGCUAAUGGUAGAGUUAAUGAUGUGGCAAUUUUUAACCAAAGCAAACUAUCAGAGGCCUUACAGAGCAAUAACAUGAAUUUGCCGCCCCCUGAGAAAGUCGAGUGUUUCAAUGGGCCUGACCUGCCAUAUGUAUGUGGUAGACGAUGCUUUUGCUCUCAAAUCAUAUAUGAUGAAACCCUAUCCAGAGAGAGGGUUGUCAAAAGAACAGAAGGUAAGCAGAGCCCGGAGACUAGUGGAGAAUGCUUUCAGCAUAAUGUCAAACAAAUUUGGAGUUCUACUAAGCCCAAUUAUUAUAUCACCGAAUAAGGUUGACACAAUCAUCAGAACUUGCUGUGUUCUGCACAAUUUUAUUCUGGAGCAAAAUCCCAGAUGGUAUGUGCCAGGAGACAUACAUAACAUAUCUAUGGAAGGAAUUCCAAGACAACAUGGAAGGCAUGCAGCUGCAGAUGCAUUGAAAGUCAGAGAUGACUUCAAGAUGUAUUUCAACUCCAUAGGUACUGUCCCAAGGCAAGAAGAGGCUGUUGAUGCUGGGAGGUGGUGAUGACAGUAGAGCUUUGGACAACUACACAAUUAUAUGUAUUUUAUAUCUGUUAUGUAAGAAACUUUUUUUUUUAAAUCAUCAAAUAUUUCUGUUCUGCUAUUUGUACUCAACUUCUAUUGUGUACAGAAGUUGUAAUCCAGAACUUAGUGUACUUUCCUGUACAUAAUACACAUAAUAAAUGUUAUUUUGUGAGCACCAGUGCCCAGUUGAGAAAAAAAUUUAGUUUUCCAUAACAAUAAAGA